UUGAGUGCAGAAGAGAAGAGCGGAAUUCCACGUGUAGCGGUGAAAUGCGUAGAGAUGUGGAGGAACACCAGUGGCGAAGGCGGCUCUUUGGUCUGUAACUGACGCUGAGGCGCGAAAGCGUGGGGAGCGAACAGGAUUAGAUACCCUGGUAGUCCACGCCGUAAACGAUGAGUGCUAAGUGUUAGAGGGUUUCCGCCCUUUAGUGCUGCAGCUAACGCAUUAAGCACUCCGCCUGGGGAGUACGGCCGCAAGGCUGAAACUCAAAGGAAUUGACGGGGGCCCGCACAAGCGGUGGAGCAUGUGGUUUAAUUCGAAGCAACGCGAAGAACCUUACCAGGUCUUGACAUCCUCUUGACCUCCCUAGAGAUAGGGAUUUCCCUUCGGGGACAAGAGUGACAGGUGGUGCAUGGUUGUCGUCAGCUCGUGUCGUGAGAUGUUGGGUUAAGUCCCGCAACGAGCGCAACCCUUGACCUUAGUUGCCAGCAUUCAGUUGGGCACUCUAAGGUGACUGCCGGUGACAAACCGGAGGAAGGUGGGGAUGACGUCAAAUCAUCAUGCCCCUUAUGACCUGGGCUACACACGUGC
rnacentral:rRNA from 2 species